rnacentral:rRNA from 1 species
AAGCGUGUCCGAAUUACUGGCGUAAGSURCGUMGCGGAUGUUAGUGGAUGUGAAUSCCGKGCUCACCUGKGCUGCAUGCAAACUGAUAUCUAGAGUGCAGAGAGAAGCGAAUCCUAGUGUAGCGGUGAAAUGCGUAGAGAUUAGGAAGAACACCAGUGGCGAAGGCGGCUUCUGGMCUGUAACUGACGCUGAGGCACGAAAGCGUGGGUAGCAAACAGGAUUAGAUACCCUGGUAGUCCACGCCGUAAACGAUGGAUACUAGGUGUAGGGRGGUAUCAACUCYCCSUGUGCCRCAGUUAACACWAUAAGUAUCCCGCSUGGGRGAGUACGGUCGCAAGAUUAAAWCUCAAAGGAAUUGACGGGGGCCCGCACAAGCAGCGGAGCAUGUGGUUUAAUUMGAAGCAACGCGAAGAACCUUACCUGGACUUGACAUCCCUUGCAUAGCCUAGAGAUAGGUGAAGCCCUUCGRSRCAAGGAGACAGGUGGUGCAUGGUUGUCGUCAGCUCGUGUCGUGAGAUGUUAGGUUAAGUCCUGCAACGAGCGCAACCCUUGUUAUUAGUUGCUWCCAUUAAGUUGASCACUYUAAUGAGACUSCSUGGRUAACCAGGAGGAAGGUGGGGAUGACGUCAAAUCAUCAUGCCCCUUAUGUCCAGGGCUACACACGUGCUACAAUGGUAGGUACAAUAAGWCGCAAGACCGUGAGGUGGAGCWAAWCUUAUAAAACCUAUCUCAGUUCGGAUUGYAGGCUGCAACUCGCCUACAUGAAGCUGGAGUUGCUAGUAAUCGCGAAUCAGMAUGUCGCGGUGAAUACGUUCCCGGGCCUUGUACACACCGCCCGUCACACCAUGAGAGYUGGUARCACCCGAAGUCSGUGAGGUAACCSUAAGAGCCAGYGCYGAAUGUUGAWG